UCAUUCGAUUUGUUGUGGAUUGGAUGAUGGAAAAACCAGCAAGCAGCAAGCGUAGUUAGAAAAGUUGCCGUAGCGCACCCUACGGAGUUGUACAAAGUCAGCAACCGUUUUGGGGCGCAAGCAUAGGCAACACUGGACUGAUGACGGGGUGGGGCGCACAGUGAACUGGUUUUCUAAAAAGAUUGGAAGAUCCGGCCAAAGAAGGUGAUAGCCCUGUUCAUUCGUUUCCAUGGUUCGAUCCUUCCCAGUAAAACGCGGCGUGUUCGAAUGAUGAUCACUUUUACGCGAGAAAGGGGGACCACCCUCUAAGCCUAAGUAUUCCUCAAUGACCAAUAGCAU
rnacentral:rRNA from 1 species